AAAACGGAUUAGAUACCCGUGUAGUCCACGCCNUAAACUGAUGAAUGCUAAAUGUUCGGGGAUUCGACCCCCUGGGUGUUACAGCUAACGCGUUAAGCAUUCCGCCUGGGAAGUACGGCCGCAAGGCUAAAACUCAAAGGAAUAGACGGGGAUCCGCACAAGCGGUGGAGCGUCUGGUUUAAUUCGACAGUAAGCGUGGUACCUCACCAGGGUUUGACAUCCCUUGACAGCCUUGGAAACAAGGUUUCCUUCGGGCAAGGUGACAGGUGCUGCAUGGUCGUCGUCAGUUCGUGCCGUGAGGUGUUCCGUUAAGUCGGGAAACGAACGAAACCCCUAUUGCAUGUUACAAUUUCUCAUGCAAGACUGCCCGGAUAUACUGGGAGGAAGGUGGGGAUGACGUCAGAUCUGCAUGGUCCUUAUACCCUGGGCGACACAGGCGCUACAAUGGCAGAGACAAAGGGUUGCAAAACCGCAAGGUGAAGCUAACCCCAAAAACUUUGUCUAAGUUCGGAUUGAAGGCUGCAAUUCGCCUUCAUGAAGCUGGAAUCGCUAGUAAUCGUGAAUCAGCCACGUCACGGUGAUAUGUUCCCGGAUCUUGUACUCACCGCCCGUCACACCAAGAGAGUUGGUAGCUCCCGAAG
rnacentral:rRNA from 1 species